rnacentral:rRNA from 1 species
AACGAACGCUGGCGGCAUGCCUAACACAUGCAAGUCGAACGAGACCUUCGGGUCUAGUGGCGCACGGGUGCGUAACGCGUGGGAACCUGCCCUUAGGUUCGGAAUAACUCCCCGAAAGGGGUGCUAAUACCGGAUAAUGUCUUCGGACCAAAGAUUUAUCGCCUUUGGAUGGGCCCGCGUUGGAUUAGCUAGUUGGUAGGGUAAAAGCCUACCAAGGCGACGAUCCAUAGCUGGUCGGAGAGGAUGAUCAGCCACACUGGGACUGAGACACGGCCCAGACUCCUACGGGAGGCAGCAGUGGGGAAUAUUGGACAAUGGGCGAAAGCCUGAUCCAGCAGUGCCGCGUGAGUGAUGAAGGCCUUAGGGUUGUAAAGCUCUUUUACCCGGGAUGAUAAUGACAGUACCGGGAGAAUAAGCUCCGGCUAACUCCGUG